rnacentral:lncRNA from 1 species
GCAGACGUUACUGCCCUCUUGCGUGCCCCGGCCACCCCCGGGCGGCUUGUAGCCGGUGCGCGGGGUGGCUGGGGCUACGUGCAGAGCUGUCGCGGAGCCGGAACAGCAGCGGUGAAGCCCCUCGGCUCGGCCGAGACCGCCGUGCCCACUGCUCGCCUCGGUUGCCGCCGCUUUAGCCGCAGCCGCUGCUGCCGCCGCCGGGGGAGAGGCAGCCUAUUGUCUUUCUCCGCGGCGAAGGUGAGGAGCUGUCUCGGCUCGGCCCGCGGGGGAGCCCCGGGAGCCGCACGGAGAUGGAGGAGGACAUCUGGACAGUGAGCAGGAGGCGCUUCGGCCCAUGCCGAACAUCCCAGGGGACCUGGAGAGCCGGGAGGCCAUGGUGGCAUUUUUCAACUCCGCUGGAGCCAAUGCCCAGGAGGAACAAAGGGUGUGCUGCCAGCCCCUGGCUCACCCAGUGGCCUCGUCCCAGAAAAAGCCAGAGGUAGCGGCCCCAGCCCCAGAGAGUGGGGGUGAGUCUGUGUUUGGGGAGACCCACCGGGCCCUGCAGGGGGCCAUGGAGAAGCUGCAGCGACUUUAUGGAAGGAGAAGGUGGACCUGAAGGAGCGGGUAGAGAAACUAGAGCUUCAAUUCAUCCACCUCUCAGGACAGACAGACACCAUAGGGAGAAAGUACAUCAGCCAGGGGGCAGUGUCAGAGACGCAGCACUGGGAGAGGAGGACAUCGUCAGGCUGGCCCAGGACCAGGAGGAGAUGAAGGUGAACCUGCAGGAGCUGCGGGGCAGGUGUUGCAGCUUGUGGGAGACCACAAGGAGGGGCAUGGCAAAUUCUGACCAUUGCCCAGAACCCUGCUGAUGAGCCCACUCUAGGAGCCCCAAUAGCCCAGGAGCUUGGGUGUGCUGACGAGCAGGGUGAUCACCACUGGAUUGCUGACAGAUAGAGGACGUGGGACCGUGACUAUCACCCCUAAUCUGCAGUGGAUUUGGCUCUCGGCACUCCCAGGCUGGGAGCUGGAUACCUGCCCUGGCAGCAUGACUCAGACUGCAUGACAGUCACAGACUCGCCUCUGCUCCUGUGGUCCAGUGGCCGGACACCCCCUGGGAUGGCUCAAAGGAGUCAGGACUUGGAAGUGGGGACAUCAGGGUAGCUGAAGGAAAUCCACACACCCAGAGCAUCUCGGAGUUCAGACUCUCAGACCUGAAGUAGGCGCCCCCGGGACUGGGCUAGGAGUUGGACGGAAUGGAGGAUGGAGGACAGCGAGAAGAAAGGAAGAGAAAUGCAAAGUGUGGGCAGCCGCCAAGAGUGAAAAUAGAGGGAAGUGUCAUGCAAGUGCUGGACAGAAGGCGGCAGGUGGGACGAGCCCCACAGCCCCCUCCUCAAAAACGACCACCUCCAGGACUCAGUGAUCCCUGGGGGGCAGGCUCUGCCAGCCCUCGGCCACACGUGGCUCCGGCACCCAUGGUCCCAGUGCCUUGGAUGGAGACGGCCAGUUCUGGCGGCCAGAUGUGGUGCUCUGGAAUCCAGUCCCAUUUCCUUCCUGGCCACGCCUGUCCAGCGGCCUCUUCAGCCGCAUUCAGCCCCUACUUACCUGGGGACCCCGGCUGGGGCACGAGAGCACCAGGGGGGUAGGGCCCAAAGGGAUCAGGGGAAGCCUCUGGCCUGGAGGGUAUGGGGCACGCUUCCCCAAGGGCGGACCCGGCAGGAGGAAGCCCAGGAGCUGGGUCCUGCCGCCCAGGAGCUGGGCCCUGCCACCCAGGCCGGGCUAGGGACAUGGCAGGGCCUGGGCAUCCUGACGCUGGACUUGGGCGACCUGGGAGGCACAGGGAGGGGAGAGAUGGGCGACCCCGCCCCAGCGCAGUGCCGGCCACACCCCAAGGCAGUUGCCAGAGCUUAAGCCCCGCCCCCAGCAGCGAGAACAUCCCAGCUCCACACCCCCCCCCCCCCCGCAGCCAGUGCUCCUUGUCAAGCUCCCCCCGUCACUCCAGGUGGGAGCCACCCCGGUGAGGGGGUGUGCCACUUGCCCCCAGGGCACUCCUCUGGGCAUCCCGGGUGGGGGAUUUUGGGGCCGUGGGGGGCAGUCUUUGGUACCUGUGUUCGUCAGGGAUGCUCUGACAACCAGGUGUCGUCCACGGGCGGGGGCAUGGGCAUGGUGACAGUGGUCCUGUUGAUGUCACCGAUGAUGCUGAGCGCCUCCUUCAGCGCGUGGUGCAUGUGCAGCAUCUCGUCGUGCUGCUGUGCCUGCUCUGCCAACUCCUCCAUCAGUGUGUUCUGGUUCCCACAUGAGUACAUAUUGGCCAGCAGCUCCGAGAUGAUGAACUCCGGGGUCUGAGAGUGGGCAAACAGGGAAGAAGGUUGGGACCUGGUGCCUGUGCCGCCCUGGCUGCCUUGCUGGGCCCUUCUGGGACUGUGCGCUGGACUUGGAGCCCCUUGGAGUAUGGCUUUUCACACGGGCUUCUAUACCGCUUCGACUGGAAGAUCCACCUCCCCACUGCCUUUUCUCACUCAGAUGGGGACACCGAGGUCCAGAGGAAAAGACACCUGUCAAAUGUCACAGAUCUGGGAGGGGACUUAAGACUUAUCAUGCCAAGAGGACACCUGUCUACUCAGUUUUUUUUUGGUGGGGCGGGGGGCGGUGAUAGGGUCUCGCUCUGUCACCAGGCUGGAGUACAGUGAUGACUGCUCACUGCAGCCUCCACCUCCUGGGCUCAAAGUGAUCCUCCAACGUCAGCCUCUCGAGGAGCUAGGACUACAGGCACAUGCCACCACCAAGCCCAGCUAUUUUUAAAAUUUUUGUGUGGAGACAAGGUCUCACUAUGUGGCCCAGGCUGGUCUCGAACUCCUGGGCUCAAGUGAUCCUCCUGCCUCGGCCUCCAGGAGUGGGAGUUGGAGUUGAUGCCUGGAUACAGGAGCUCUGUGGGUGGGAGUGAGACAAAACACAGGGUCCUGAGCUCUGGGGACCAAGCAAUGUCCUCUGGUGAAAAAAAUCCUGGACUUGCUGGCAGAAGAUUUGCCUCUUACUCGCCAUGUGCUCUGAAUACAUUUACCUGCCCUCUGGGA